CUGGCACAGAAUUAGAGUAUACAGAAUGGAUGCUUGCCUAGGUUUAUCUGCUUGGAGAGCUACUGGGAAUGGAAGCUCAGCCCCUUUCCUCCCAAAGACAGAAGGGAAGAAUAGAAGAUGCUAGGACAGUAUGAUGUCAGGGAGAGGAAGAUGUGGACGAUGACCUGUAGAGAGGGCCCCGGGUCCAGACUUUCUUCAAUUCAUUCCUCUAUUGGACCCACAGCAGCUAGUAAAUCCUGGACUUCUUCUUGCAGCCUUUUUCAGUCAUUUUCCACAUAUCCAUUGUGGCACCUGCAAAGACCUGUCUGCCCUGCCCUAAGGAAGCUUUGGUCUUCUAGCUGUUCUUUUCCCUGGUGAAGCAUGAACUCAAUUCAGACUUUCAUGAAAAUCAGAUGGAGUUUGAUGCCACGAAGGGUGGUUUACCAACGAGGAUUUGGUCCAGAGAACAGAAAAUAACCACAAUAGAUGGGAGCAGACCCAAGCUAAGAUACAGACAUGGCUUGGAAACAGAAUUUUAGGGGGAAGCUAGGGAGCACAGUGGAUAGAGUACCGGGUCUGGAGGCUGGAGGACCUGGGUUCAAAUUUGAGCUCAGACACUUCCUAGCUGUGUGACCCUGGG
rnacentral:lncRNA from 1 species